GACGAACGCUGGCGGCGUGCUUAACACAUGCAAGUCGAACGGUGAAGCGCCUUCCUUUUUGGUGGGUGUGGAUGAGUGGCGAACGGGUGAGUAACACGUGAGUAACCUGCCCCCCUCUUCUGGAUAACCGCAUGAAAGUGUGUCUAAUACGGGAUAUUCUGGGUCUGUCGCAUGAUGGGUCUGGGAAAGAUAUUGUUUCGGUGGGGGAUGGGCUCGCGGCCUAUCAGCUUGUUGGUGGGGUGAUGGCCUACCAAGGCGGUGACGGGUAGCCGGCCUGAGAGGGUGGACGGUCACACUGGGACUGAGACACGGCCCAGACUCCUACGGGAGGCAGCAGUGGGGAAUAUUGCACAAUGGGCGCAAGCCUGAUGCAGCGACGCCGCGGGAGGGAUGGAGGCCUUCGGGUUGUGAACCUCUUUCGCCAGUGAAGCAGGCCUGCCUCGUUUGUGGGUGGGUUGACGGUAGCUGGAUAAGAAGCGCCGGCUAACUACGUG
rnacentral:rRNA from 1 species